rnacentral:misc_RNA from 1 species
GCGGGAAGUGGUGGAAGUCGCGGUAGUGGUGGUGGUGGUGGUGGCGGCGGUGGUGGUGGUAUACGAGGCACACUGGUACGAGGCUUGAGAUGCGGUGACUUGGCUCGACAAGGAUGACUGCAGUGAUGGGAAGAAGGCGCCCACACGGUUCUUCAGCCAUGCGCUCUGGAAAUAGGAAGAAGUGAGCUGCUGGACUUGCGCUGACUUACUGUGUGACCUGGAGUGAAGAGACGAAGCAUUGUUUUUUUUAGUGCCUGGACAUCGUGUUUAUGUAUCCAGGUUUGAGGCGCCAUGGGACAACCCAGGCCUGGCCUGCAUUGAUGAAGAGAGCAAACUGGUAUUCAGCCAUGUAAUGUGGGAGAUAAACACCUGGCCUGCUGUGACCUGGAGUGACAGCCUUUUUUUCAACCACUGGGUCUGGACAUUGAGUUUGUAUACGGAGGAGUGUAGUAGGUAUAAGGAUUUUGAUUUUAAAAGCACUUUCGCACACCCGAGUAUACCGAAACCAUAAUGAAGUGGUACAAUUCCUUCAAGAAACGGUUCCUUCUAGGUGAAAUGAGGUGUAGGAUUUUGGGGAACUAGUAGUAGUUGUGGAGUGGCUGAUGCAGGGUGUGAUGAAGUGAGGAAGGAAAGGAAGUGGAGUGAUGUAUGGUGGGAGAAAUUUCACGUAGAUCGGAGUGAAAGAUGGGAUGAUGUACUUGUGAUGUGAAGCACCUGAUUUGUGGAGUCCAGCUGAGUGAGAAUCGGAUAGGGUUUGAGAGUUUGUGAGGCUAGGAAGGAGUGAAAGAAUGUAAGUAGACCGUGCAGAUGGUUGAGAAAGACCUGACAGCGAUGGCAGAGAAUGAGUACUAGAAUGAAUGCAUGGGCAGCGUAUGUGAAACGGAGACAUGCAAGGCGAGCGAUAAAUAAGGGGCGAAUGAUGAUAAUGAAGGAUAAAAUGGAAGGAUAAAUUGAAGUGAGAAAGGAGUGAUAUAUUAAGUAAGAAAAAGGCAUGGAAGGUGGCCGGGAAUGGUAGAAGUUUGAGAAGUGAGAAUAAAUAGGUCAGGAAAUGUUUGUGUGGACAGUCUGAAAGUGAAAGUUUAGUUAAAACAGAAGGAAGGAAUCAGGGAGGCAAUCAGACUAUUUUGGGAAGAAGUGGAUGGUGUAGGUGACGUGUUUGGUGUGAGAAGGAUGCGUGACACUGGAAGGGAAGAAUGCAGACGAGCUGAAUGAGAGAAUUAGCAAGGAGGAAAAGAAAUGUGAAAAGGCAGAAGAAUGGGAAGGCAGCAGGGACAGAUGGGAUACCGUACGAGAUUAUAAAAAUGGUGGGGAGUUGAUGACUGAGAUAUUUAACUAGUUAAUGGUACAAGUGCCAAGAAUAUGUUAGGAAUGUAGUGAUUGUUGCGUAAGGGAGGAUGCAAAAGUUAAGAACUCUAGGCAGAUUGCGUUAGUAAACACAGUAAGAUAGUGUUCUUCAUUCAGUGAGCUUGUUUAAAUGUGUUGGGUGAAGAACAAUGGUUUCCGUGAAGACAGGAGAGCUGAGGGAGGAUAACUUAUUUGUGGUGAAUGAAAUGAUUGAGAGGAAAAGAAAGGAGGGAGGUAAACUAUAUUUAGGUUUUCUGGAUAUAGAGAAAACAUUUAUGAUAAGGGUGGAUUGAAAUACAUUAGGCAGUCGUGGGAGAGAUUGGGUUGUUUAAAAAAUUGAACAUAGUGCGUAGCAUGUAUGUUGACAAGAGCUAAAUAGACUAGGAGAUAUGGAAACAACAGACUGGGUGAAGGAGUGAGAGGAGUUAGGCAAAGAUGUAUGUGUAUUGUCACCAACCCUUUUCAGCCUGGAGUUAGCAGUCAGAACAAGAAAUGAAUAAUGAAUGCAGGAGUAAGUGUGGGAAAUAUGAAUGCAGGAGUGUAGGGAAAAUGUGUGCGCGCUUCUUAGGCAGAUGGUGAUGUGAGGGAGUCAGCAGAUGAGUUGCAAGUGUAUUGGAUGUUGUGGAUAGGUAUGGAUGGAAGAGACUUUGGAGUUUGGUUUUAAUAGAGAAAAGUAAGGUAAUGGGGUAGUGAUGAACGUGAUAUGGUAUGGAGAAUUGGAGAGCGAGUUGAAACCGGCGCAAGAAUGUAAGUACUUGGGGAUGUGGGCGAGUCCGAGUAAGUGUGAAAAGGGAAAAAAUGAAAAGCUUGAACCAGUGGUAAGACGACUGGGGAGUGCAGCUAGAAUGAGAGAGCAAGUUUAUGAUGUACUGAAUUGUGGCCGUGCCCAGUGUAAUGUUUGGGUGGGAAUGCAAUUAAUUAACUACAGAUGGUUUCAGUCCCCCAGCGAAGUGUGCCAGAUGUGACAUGGAGGAGGAUGAGACGGUGGUGCUGGAGUGUGAGAGAAGAGCGACAGGAGGGAGAUGUAAGCGUGUGGUGUUUAUACUUUAGAGGAGUUGCCGAUCCACAAGGCCUGCACUGGAGCGAUCCCGAGCCACAGGAAGGAAGAAUCGACAUCACGUCGCCCCAGCCGGCGGAACCUGAUGCUGGCUGGCUACCUCUACUAAGGGAACCAGCCCCAGGCCUCCAUUAGCGACCACGUCUUAUAGCGGUCGUGUUCACGCUUCCCUUCUGUUAUGAAGACAUAAUCGGUCAUUAGCAAUUUGUUUUUUUGUUGCUGGUUCCAUAUGUAAGAGUUCGAGGACUCCCCUACAAAAAAUGUUCGUUUGUAUUUUUUUUUUUAUAAAAUAUUUUCCUGGCUUUUCUUUCCUUCAUUAUCUUUUCUCCGGA